rnacentral:rRNA from 1 species
CCGCAUAAUCCCUGAGGGGGAAAGAUUUAUCGCUUUAAGAUUGGCCCGCGGAAGAUUAGGUAGUUGGUGGGGUAAAGGCCUACCAAGCCGACGAUCUAUAGCUGGUCUGAGAGGACGAACAGCCACAUUGGAACUGAGACACGGUCCAGACUCCUACGGGAGGCAGCAGUGAGGAAUAUUGGGCAAUGGAGGAAACUCUGACCCAGCCAUGCCGCGUGAGUGAAGAAGGUUUUCGAAUUGUAAAGCUCUUUCGGAUGGGACGAUGAUGACGGUACCAUCUAAAGAAGCCCCGGCAAACUUCGUGCCAGCAGCCGCGGUAAUACGAAGGGGGCAAGCGUUGUUCGGAAUUACUGGGCGUAAAGGGUGUGUAGGCGGAUUUGUAAGAUAGUGGUGAAAUACCUGAGCUCAACUUAGGAAUUGCCAUUAUAACUAUAGAUCUGGAGUGACAGAGAGGAUAUUGGAAUACCCAGUGUAGAGGUGAAAUUCGUAGAUAUUGGGUAGAACACCAGUGGCGAAGGCGAGUAUCUGGCUGUCAACUGACGCUGAGGCACGAAAGCAUGGGGAUCAAACAGGAUUAGAUACCCUGGUAGUCCAUGCUGU